rnacentral:rRNA from 1 species
CCUACGUGAGGCAGCAGUGAGGAAUAUUGGUCAAUGGGCGCGAGCCUGAACCAGCCAAGUAGCAUGAAGGAUGACUGCCCUACGGGUUGUAAACUUCUUUUAUAAAGGAAUAAAGUGAGGCACGUGUGCCUUUUUGUAUGUACUUUAUGAAUAAGGAUCGGCUAACUCCGUGCCAGCAGCCGCGGUAAUACGGAGGAUCCGAGCGUUAUCCGGAUUUAUUGGGUUUAAAGGAAGCGUAGAUGGGUUGUUAAGUCAGUUGUGAAAGUUUGCGGCUCAACAGUAAAAUUGCAAUUGAUACUGGCAGUCUUGAGUACAGUUGAGGUAGGCGGAAUUCGUGGUGUAGCGGUGAAAUGCUUAGAUAUCACGAAGAACUCCGAUUGCGAAGGCAGCUUACUAAACUGCCACUGACAUUGAUGCUCGAAAGUGUGGGUAUCAAACAGGAUUAGAUACCCUAGUAGUC